UUAGCCUACGGGGGGCAGCAGUCGAGAAUCAUUCACAAUGGGGGAAACCCUGAUGGUGCGACGCCGCGUGGGGGAAUGAAGGUCUUCGGAUUGUAAACCCCUGUCAUGUGGGAGCAAAUUAAAAAGAUAGUACCACAAGAGGAAGAGACGGCUAACUCUGUGCCAGCAGCCGCGGUAAUACAGAGGUCUCAAGCGUUGGUCGGAAUCACUGGGCGUAAAGCGUGCGUAGGCUGGUUCGUAAGUCGUGUGUGAAAGGCGCGGGCUCAACCCGCGGACGGCACAUGAUACUGCGAGCCUAGAGACAA
rnacentral:rRNA from 1 species